AUCCCUGUAGUGCAAUGGAAGCGCAUUGGACUUUUAAUCCAAAGGUCGUGGGUUCUAAUCCCACUUGGGAGG